GCAAGAUGGCAGAGGAGGGGGAAAGCCAAUAGAAAAGGGAUAUUGCACCUACUUGUGGCCAGUUUCCUUGCCCUGCCUUUGGAUCUCAUGCUGUGCCCAGUCCUGCAGCCGCUGGAAAUUUUCUAUACAUCCACGGAGAAAACAAGAAGUGGGGCUUUUAAAACCUUUUUCCAUAUUAAAGAACUAGAAGGACAGGACUCUUAAAUGAUCCAGGAGAAAGUGAGAAUCAUCCUGAACUUCAGGAAAUCUGCUGCCGCCGCUCUUACUGCUACUGAAGCUAUUUCGGCUUGUGCUUUCGGAGUUGAAAGUAGAACAAGAUUUACCAAUGAAGUGGGCACAUAGAAAUGGGGAAAUCCUAAAGGGGCCAGCUGUGUUCAAGACGGCGAAGGGCAAGAGGAUGAGGCGUCGCUGGAACACCCUCCCCUUCUCGUUUUUAAAGUCCCUGGGGUCGCGGCCGCCUCAGCGAAUGCCUGGUCUUUCCAAGAGUUUCGGGACACGAGCAAAUCCAACCUCUUCCAACUGAAAUAAUAAACACAAACUCCUCUGUGCCCUAGGGCCAAAGCAUUGUGACUAGACAAGGCAUCAUUCUUUUUGUUGUUUUUUUAGUAAAGUAUUCGCAACAUCAUCACUUUUAUUUUCAAACCUGAAAGCUGGGUUUUUCUUUUCUUUCUUCCUUUCUCUCCCUCUCUCUUUUUCUUCCUCAUUUGCUUUCUGCCUUGAGUAUUAGUUUAAAAAAAUAAAAAAAAAAAGCUAAGUUGCUAGUUCAAGUGUGUUUAACCUGAUGGAGCAAACGCCCAGCAAGCAGCGGACUGCGCUCGCCGCCUGCAGCGCGGCUUGCCUGAGCGUGCCGACCUGGGCGGGUUCCCACUUCUAAGUACGUGAACCCCGUCAGUUCCACCUGUCCCAAGUCUCAGCCGUGAGACCCAAGCAGGUGACUUUCUGGUCAGCGGCCCCACGGAUUCCCAAAAUCCUUUGACGGGGCAUCCAAGCUGUCGCUCGCCCAAGAGACAAGAGGCCUCCAACAAGUUGGCCGAGCUACCCUCGCUGCCCGAUUCCCCACCACCCACCUUUUUCUCUUCUCCUGAAAUUCGUUUCCUUGAGGGGCAUGAGUACCAACGUUUUCUUGCAUUUUCUCCAACGGAAACGGGAAUCCUGGAAACAGUGCCUCCUUGGAAAGUCGUUGAGCUUACGGACUGUUUGGAUUUGCUUGUUUUAUUACUGUCAUAUUUUGUGUCGGGGUUUUUGUUGGGUUUUUUUUUUUUUUUUUUUUUUUUGGGGGUUUUUUUUUUUUUUUAAGGAGAAGCAGAGAUGAAGAAGAGGGGUCAUUGAAGAGGACAAGAGAAGUAUACCCUUUCUCCAACCAUGUUUCUUUAAUAAAUCCUAGAAACGGCAAAGAACUGAUUUUCAAUACAUUACAUGCAACAGAAACUUGUCCUUUCCUCGAAUUAUAAUUGAACCAGCCCCACUGUA